rnacentral:rRNA from 1 species
UACGAAGGGGGCUAGCGUUGUUCGGAAUCACUGGGCGUAAAGCGCACGCAGGCGGAUCGUUAAGUCAGGGGUGAAAUCCCGAGGCUCAACCUCGGAACUGCCUUUGAUACUGGCGAUCUUUGAGUCCGGGAGAGGUGAGUGGAACUCCGAGUGUAGAGGUGAAAAUUCGUAGAUAUUCGGAAGAACACCAGUGGCGAAGGCGGCUCACUGGCCCGGUACUGACGCUCAGGUGCGAAAGCGUGGGGAGCAAACAGG